rnacentral:pre_miRNA from 1 species
ACUCCCUCUGUCUACUCUGUGCUCUGUAUACUCUGUGUUGAGCACAGAGUAUACGAGCGGAGAUCG